rnacentral:ncRNA from 1 species
AAAGUCCCAUCCGGCCAAGGUUAGCCACCAGCCGGUAGCGAGUGUUGCGUGGUGCCGGGUAACCGCCACUGCGAAGCGUACGCAGCGAGUGGAUAGGCCGUGUGAUUGAGCAUCGAAAUCCUCGCAUUACGGUCGCCGACAGCGUUAUGGAUCUGGAAGGCAAUACGAACCCGCUGUACUGGCUUGGCGGGAGAGGGCCGUCGGUGUCAUAGAGCA